rnacentral:rRNA from 1 species
UACCAGCACCCCGAGUGGUCGGGACGUUUAUUGGGCCUAAAGCAUCCGUAGCCGGUUCUACAAGUCUUCCGUUAAAUCCAGCUGCUUAACAGAUGGGCUGCGGAAGAUACUAUGGAGCUAGGAGGCGGGAGAGGCAAGCGGUACUCGAUGGGUAGGGGUAAAAUCCGUUGAUCCAUUGAAGACCACCAGUGGCGAAGGCGGCUUGCCAGAACGCGCUCGACGGUGAGGGAUGAAAGCUGGGGGAGCAAAUGGG